GACAGAGGGUGCAAACGUUGUUCGGAAUUACUGGGCGUAAAGCGCGUGUAGGCUGCUCAGAAAGUCGGAUGUGAAAGCCCUGGGCUUAACCUAGGAAGUGCAUUCGAAACUUCUGAGCUUGAGUUCUGGAGAGGAAGGCGGAAUUCUCGGUGUAGAGGUGAAAUUCGUAGAUAUCGAGAGGAACACCGGUGGCGAAGGCGGCAUCCUGGACCAACACUGACGCUGAUGAGCGAAAGCCAGGGGAGCAAACGGG
rnacentral:rRNA from 1 species